AAGCGCUAAAAACUAUAAAAUGAAUGUCAGAAGAGAACUAGUUUAUAAAGUGAUAAAACUAUAUAAUAUUUCUUACAUGCAUAAGAAAUAAAUUAUGGCUAAAGUUCUCAAACUUGUUAAUGUUAUGAUCAUUUUUCUUGCCCUAGUUCUUGUUGCAAUGAACGUUAACGCGGAUGUUAUUAAUUGUACCCAAGAUUCUGAUUGUCAGUCAAUUGGAUGCUUGUCUCAUCUUAAACCGAAGUGUACUAUGUUAGGAUUUUUUUUCAAUGCCUUUGUUGGCAUAUGCGAAUGUGAUCAAGUGAUGUGACCAUAAGAUUUUUCUAGAAAACUAUAGGAUAUCUCAUUUUGUUAUUGUGUUGCCCCCAAUAAUUUAAGUUUUUUUUUUUAUUUUCAUAAAUCUCGUAGUUGUGGAUUAUGUACUCUAAGAAGAUGGUAAUGAAACGAAACAAGGGAGAAAAUAAAGUUAUUUAGAUAGUAUUCUAGAUUUUAUUUUUGUAUUUUCAAAUAGUUAAGUUUUAAGAAUCAAUGAGUACAAAAAAACUAAGAUAGGAACAAUAUCCUCAAGAAUGAAUAUGAAUGACAAACAUUAGAUAAAUGAGACUUGACAAUUGUUGGAUAUUUCACAGAGAUAUUCCUACUAUUGAAAUUUCU